rnacentral:rRNA from 1 species
GAUGAACGCUGGCGGCGUGCUUAACACAUGCAAGUCGAACGGUGAAAGAGAGCUUGCUCUCUGGAUCAGUGGCGAACGGGUGAGUAACACGUGAGCAAUCUGCCCCUGACUCUGGGAUAAGCGCUGGAAACGGCGUCUAAUACUGGAUACGAGCUGCGAAGGCAUCUUCAGCAGCUGGAAAGAACUUCGGUCAGGGAUGAGCUCGCGGCCUACCAGCUUGUUGGGGAGGUAAUGGCUCACCAAGGCGUCGACGGGUAGCCGGCCUGAGAGGGUGACCGGCCACACUGGGACUGAGACACGGCCCAGACUCCUACGGGAGGCAGCAGUGGGGAAUAUUGCACAAUGGGCGAAAGCCUGAUGCAGCAACGCCGCGUGAGGGACGACGGCCUUCGGGUUGUAAACCUCUUUUAGCAGGGAAGAAGCGAAAGUGACGGUACCUGCAGAAAAAGCACCGGCUAACUACGUGCCAGCCGCCGCAGUAAUAC